rnacentral:rRNA from 1 species
UACGUAGGGUGCGAGCGUUAAUCGGAAUUACUGGGCGUAAAGCGUGCGCAGGCGGUUUCACAAGCUCGAUGUGAAAGCCCCGGGCUUAACCUGGGAAUGGCAUUGAGGACUGUGGAGCUCGAGUGCGGCAGAGGGAGGUGGAAUUCCACGUGUAGCAGUGAAAUGCGUAGAGAUGUGGAGGAACACCGAUGGCGAAGGCAGCCUCCGUGGGCCGACACUGACGCUCAUGCACGAAAGCGUGGGGAGCAAACAGG